rnacentral:tRNA from 1 species
GUUUUAAUAGUUUAAACAAAACACCGGUCUUGUAAAUCGGAAUUGAAGAAGUUUCUUCUUAAAGCA